GUCCACGCCGAUUCGUCUUCUGCUUUCCUUCGUCUCUCUCUGUCCGAUCGAUUUCCAUCUCAUUUUCGCCCACAGACCCACGUCGAUCCGAAUCCUAUAUCUCAUCGGCCUUCAAGUUCGUCUUCUCAUUCUCGCCGCCGGUCUCCUCAUCCUCGCCGUGACGCCGUCUAUCUCCUCCUCACCGUCAGUUCGGCCCUCGCCUUCCAUCUUGAGGUUAGUACAAAUUGAUUUUAUAUCAUAAAGAUCCUAUUUGAAUACUUUACAAACCUCUUUUUACAUCAUUGUUAGUAUCUUAUUUUUAAAGAAAAGAAAAUAAAAAAACAAAAGAACAAGAAACGCCUUUACUUCUACCUUUUAAUUUAGCUGAUCGUAGAACCUUGAUUUUAUGAUGCUGUAAUUACAAUUUUGUAGAAAAUACUGUAAUUACAUUUACAUUUUGUAAUUAAUUUUGUAGAAUCUUGUAGAACCAAAAAUGAUUUUGAAUUUGAAAAAAAAUAAUGCAAUCGGACAAUUCAAUCCAAUCUAAUCUAUAGUUUACGGAUUGGAUUAGAUUAGAAACUAAAUUUUGCCAACCCGACCCAACAAAAAAAAAUGCUUUUUAGAUAAGAUAUUCUGUUGCAGCUGCCACGUACAAAAAGGCCACACUUUUGCAUGUAAAAGGGUUACUUUUUUUCUUUAUGCCCUUUUCAUUUCUUCCUUUCGUGAUUGGGUUUUACAGAGAAAGCUCAAGCUUCCUUCUUCUUGCUUUGUUCUUCUGUGCGUGUUGAUUUCUCCUUUUUUAUGGAAGAUUUUUCUGUAGGUGAUGAAAAUGAAGAAAAUGAAGAGAGAGAAAACAUUAUUGAAAGCAUAUUGGUUUCAAUGAUCGACGAAUCUGCGGCAGUUUGUCAAUUCAACGAUUUGCUUCGAUUGCUGUUCUACACAGAGAAGAGACACCCAGAAUAAGCUAGAAUAUUCUAUUGAAAUUCAUUAGAAAAUAAUGGAAGUCAAAGCCAGAGCUCCCGGGAAAAUCAUACUCGCCGGUGAACAUGCCGUCGUCCAUGGAUCCACAGCCAUUGCCGCUUCCGUUGAUCUCUACACUACAGCUUCAGUUAGAUUGCCAAGUUCUUCUGACGAGAAUGAUAUUGUGAAACUCCAAUUGAAGGACCUGAAACUUGAGUUUUCAUGGCCAGUUAGUAGAAGCAGGGAAGCUUUGGGUGUAUUUGUCGGUGCCAUCUCGUCACCCACAACAUGCCCUGCAGAGUGCUUGAAAUCAAUUGCAUCUCUGGUCGAGGAUCAAAACAUUCCGGAGGCGAAAAUUGGACUUGCUUCUGGAGUGGCAGCAUUUCUUUGGCUCUGUUCUUCCAUCCUAGGGUGGCCAUCACUUCUGAGCUUCCUCUUGGAUCUGGCUUGGGAUCAUCAGCAGCGUUUUGCGUUGCCCUAUCAGCUGCUCUGCUUGCUUUAUCAGGUUCUGUGAACGUGGAUCGGGAGCAUCAUGGAUGGAUGGUAUAUAAAGAAGAUGAACUAGAUUUGUUGAACAAGUGGGCCUUUGAGGGUGAAAAGAUAAUCCAUGGAAAACCCUCUGGAAUAGACAACACAGGGAGCACAUAUGAUUGAUAUCAGAGCAACUGAAUCUGGGCAAAUGCAAAGAGAUGGCUAAGAAGAGCGAAGAAAGACUGAACUUCGUUGAGCAAGAGAUUCUGGAGAUGAGGACAGAGAUGAAGAAGUUACCUGCAAUGGAAGAGAAUAUGUCCUUGAUCUCAAAGAGCAUUGAGAAUAUUAACGUGCAGAUGGAGAAACAGCAAUUACAACAGCAAACUAUUCUGUAAUAUAUUGAUGGAAUCAACUGGGAUUGAUUCAGCGACUGAGAUGAAGAUGGGGGAGUCGAAAACUGAUUGGAGGAAUGAUGACCAUAAGAUGUUUGUUCUGAGCAAAUUAAGUAGGUCGAGAUGCCAAUCUUCAACGGAACGGAUCCCAAUUCUUGGUUAUUCAGAGCAGACUGUUAUUUCAAAAUCCAUAACCUCACCGAAUCCGAGAAAAUGUCAGUUGCCAUUAUAAGCUUCGACGGUCCGGCCCAUGACUAGUAUUGAUCACAGGAUGAGCGGGAAUCGUUUAAGAGUUGGGAUGACUUGAAGCAGAACAUGUUCACAAGGUUCCAAACGAUUAGGGAUGGCACCUUGGUGGCAAGGUUUCUGACGAUCACACAGGAACUCGUGGUGGAGGAAUAUCGGAAUAGGUUUCACAAGUACUUAGAUUUGUGCCUGUUGAGGUGGCCAUCACUUCUGAGCUUCCUCUUGGAUCUGGCUUGGGAUCAUCAGCAGCGUUUUGUGUUGCCCUAUCAGCUGCUCUGCUUGCUUUAUCAGGUUUUGUGAACGUGGAUUGGGAGCAUCGUAGAUG